rnacentral:rRNA from 1 species
AGAGUUUGAUCAUGGCUCAGAGUGAACGCUGGCGGCAGGCCUAACACAUGCAAGUCGAACGGCAGCACAGGGGAGCUUGCUCCCUGGGUGGCGAGUGGCGGACGGGUGAGGAAUACAUGGGAAUCUGCCCAAUCGUGGGGGAUAACGUAGGGAAACUUACGCUAAUACCGCAUACGACCUUAGGGUGAAAGCGGCGGACCGCAAGGCGUCGCGCGAUUGGAUGAGCCCAUGUCGGAUUAGCUAGUUGGCGGGGUAAAGGCCCACCAAGGCGACGAUCCGUAGCUGGUCUGAGAGGAUGGUCAGCCACACUGGAACUGAGACACGGUCCAGACUCCUACGGGAGGCAGCAGUGGGGAAUAUUGCACAAUGGGCGCAAGCCUGAUGCAGCGACGCCGCGUGAGGGAUGACGGCCUUCGGGUUGUAAACCUCUUUCAGCAGGGAAGAAGCGAAAGUGACGGUACCUGCAGAAGAAGCGCCGGCUAACUACGUGCCAGCAGCGGCGGUAAUUC